rnacentral:lncRNA from 1 species
UUUAUAGAUAAGUCUGCUCAUUUUAGCAUUGUUUAUAAUAGCUAAAAAAUUUGAAAAAUUUAAGUGUCUAUCAUAGAAGAUUAGUUAAAUUAUCUUACAGGCAUGUAAUGGAGAAGACUGCAGUCUUUUUUUUUUUUUUAGUGAGGCAAAUCUAUUUUUACUUAGAUGGCAAGAUGUCCACGGUCAUAGUGGUAAGUAUAGAGAGGAGGAGGAGUUAGACAAUAGUGUAUGUUAUCUGAAUUUAUUUAUAGAACUAUGUAUUUUAACAUAUAUGCUUGACAUUCUGCAAGGAUAUGAACUAAACAGUUAAAAGUAGUUAUUUCUUAGGCAGGAUUAUGGGGUGACCCUUUCACUUUCUACUUUAGAUACUUCAGUAUGAACUUUUUCUACAACCAUAUAUUGCUUUUAUAAUCAGGAAACUCAAUAAAGAGAUUUCUAUUAACAAAA